rnacentral:rRNA from 1 species
AAAGGUGAAAAGAACCCCGCAAGGGGAGUGAAAUAGAAUCUGAAACCGUUUGCAUACAAACCGUUGGAGCUGCCUUGUGCAGUGACAGCGUGCCUUUUGAAGAAUGAGUCUACGAGUUAGUGUGAUGUGGCAAGGUUAACCCGUCGAGGGGAAGCCGUAGCGAAAGCGAGUCUGAAUAGGGCGAAUAAGUUGCAUCAUCUAAACCCGAAGCGAGGUGAUCUACGCAUGGCCAGGUUGAAGCGCGGGUAAGACCGCGUGGAGGACCGAACCCACUAAUGUUGAAAAAUUAGGGGAUGAGCUGUGUGUAGGGGUGAAAGGCCAAUCAAACUUCGUGAUAGCUGGUUCUCUCCGAAAUGCAUUUAGGUGCAGCGUCACGUGUUUCUUACCGGAGGUAGAGCUACUGGAUGGUCGAGGGGGCCUACAAGCUUACCAACAUCAGCCAAACUCCGAAUGCCGGUAAGUGAGAGCGUGGCAGUGAGACUGUGGGGGAUAAGCUUCAUAGUCGAGAGGGAAACAACCCAGAAUAGCAACUAAGGUCCCAAAGCCUGUGCUAAGUGGAAAAGGAUGUGGAGUCGUAUAGACAACCAGGAUGUUGGCUUAGAAGCAGCCACCAUUUAAAGAGUGCGUAAUAGCUCACUGGUCAAAUGAUUCCGCGCCGACAAUGUAACGGGGCUCAAGCACAGCACCGAAGUUCUAUCAUUCACACAUUAUCCCGGUCGCAAGAUCCAGGAGUGUGGAUGGGUAGGAGAGCGUUGUGUGGCUGGUGAAGCGGCGGAGGAAUCCAGCCGUGGAAGCCACACAAGUGAGAAUGUAGACAUGAGUAGCGAGAGAAGUGUGAGAAACAUUUCCGCCGAAAGACCAAGGGUUCCUGGGCCAGGCUAAUCCGCCCAGGGUAAGUCGGGACCUAAGGCGAGGCCGUCAGGCGUAGUCGAUGGACAACUGGUUUAAGCCGCGUGGGUGGAUGGCUCGAACCGGUGUGGUAGUAGUUAAGCAAUGGUGUGACACAGGAAGGCAGUCCAGCCCGGGCGAUGGUUGUCCCGGGGUAAGGCUGUAGGGGGUGUUGUAGGUAAAUCCGCAACACACAUACCCUGAGAGCUGAUGCCGAGCCGUAAGGCGAAGUGGAUGAUCCUAUGCUGUCAAGAAAAGCAUCUAGCGAGAAUUAUUGCGGCCCGUACCCGAAACCGACACAGGUGGUCAGGUAGAGAAUACCAAGGCGAUCGAGAGAAUCAUGGAUAAGGAACUCGGCAAAAUGCCCCCGUAACUUCGGGAGAAGGGGGGCCCUCUGGCGUGUAGGAAUUUACUUCCGAAGCGUUAGGAGGCCGCAGAGACCAGGCUCAAGCGACUGUUUACCAAAAACACAGGUCCGUGCGAAGUAGCAAUACGAUGUAUACGGACUGACGCCUGCCCGGUGCUGGAAGGUUAAGGGGACUGGUUAGCCGCAAGGCGAAGCUGAGAACUUAAGCCCCAGUAA